rnacentral:rRNA from 1 species
UACAGAGGGUGCGAGCGUUAAUCGGAAUUACUGGGCGUAAAGCGCGCGUAGGCGGCUUUGCAAGUCGGGUGUGAAAUCCCCAGGCUUAACCUGGGAACUGCGUCCGAUACUGGAUGGCUUGAAUUCGGGAGAGGGAUGCAGAAUUCCAGGUGUAGCGGUGAAAUGCGUAGAUAUCUGGAGGAAUACCGGUGGCGAAGGCGGCAUCCUGGACCGACAUUGACGCUGAGGAGCGAAAGCUAGGGGAGCAAACGGG